rnacentral:rRNA from 1 species
AUUGACCUCGGAUCAGGUAGGGAUACCCGCUGAACUUAAGCAUAUCAAUAAGCGGAGGAAAAGAAACCAACAGGGAUUGCCUCAGUAACGGCGAGUGAAGCGGCAACAGCUCAAAUUUGAAAUCUGGCCCCGUCGGGGUCCGAGUUGUAAUUUGUAGAGAGUGUUUCGGGUGAGACCACGGUCUAAGUCUCAUUGGAACAUGGCGUCAUAGAGGGUGAGAAUCCCGUAUGUGACUGUGGCUCGAGCCCAUGUGAAGCCUCUUCGACGAGUCGAGUUGUUUGGGAAUGCAGCUCAAAAUGGGUGGUAAAUUUCAUCUAAAGCUAAAUACUGGCUGGAGACCGAUAGCGCACAAGUAGAGUGAUCGAAAGAUGAAAAGCACUUUGGAAAGAGAGUCAAACAGUACGUGAAAUUGUUGAAAGGGAAGCGCUUGCAACCAGACCUGUCCGUAGGUGAUCAGCCGCUGUUCUCAGCGGUGCACUCGCUCUGCGAUCAGGCCAGCAUCGGUUUCGGCGGUUGGAUAAAGGCCUUGGGAAUGUAGCUCCCUUCGGGGAGUCUUAUAGCCCUCGGUGCAAUGCGGCCAGCCGGGACCGAGGACCGCGCUUCGGCUAGGAUGCUGGCGUAAUGGUUGUAAGCGACCCGUCUUGAAACACGGACCAAGGAGUCUAACAUCUAUGCGAGUGUUUGGGUGUUAAACCCAUGCGCGGAAUGAAAGUGAACGGAGGUGAGAACCCUUUAGGGCGCAUCAUCGACCGAUCCAGAUGUCUUCGGAUGGAUUUGAGUAUGAGCAUAGCUGUUGGGACCCGAAAGAUGGUGAACUAUGCCUGAAUAGGGUGAAGCCAGAGGAAACUCUGGUGGAGGCUCGCAGCGGUUCUGACGUGCAAAUCGAUCGUCAAAUUUGGGUAUA